rnacentral:rRNA from 2 species
ACAUCCAAGGAAGGCAGCAGGCGCGCAAAUUACCCAAUCCCGGCACGGGGAGGUAGUGACGAAAAAUAACGAUACGGGACUCAUCCGAGGCCCCGUAAUCGGAAUGAGUAUACUCUAAAUCCUUAUACGAGUAUCAAUUGGAGGGCAAGUCUGGUGCCAGCAGCCGCGGUAAUUCCAGCUCCAAUAGCGUAUAUUAAAGUUGUUGCGGUUAAAAAGCUCGUAGUUGGAUCUGUGUCCCGCACCGUCGGUUCACCGCCUGUCGGUGUUCAACUGGCGUGUAUGCGGGACGUCCUGCCGGUGGCGGUCCGGUUCCCCGUCGGCACGUAGGGGUCGUCCUUGCUUGUCUUGCGUCGUCCCCGAAGGCCUUCGCGGUGUUUCCGGCCGCCUUUCGAUCCCGUCGCGGUGCUCUUCACCGAGUGUCGAGGCGGGCCGGCACGUUUACUUUGAACAAAUUAGAGUGCUUUAAGCAGGCCCUGUCCCGCCUGUAUGUUGUGUGCAUGGAAUAAUGGAAUAGGACCUCGGUUCUAUUUUGUUGGUUUUCGGAAUCUGAGGUAAUGAUCAAUGGGGACAGGCGGGGGCAUUCGUAUUGCGACGUUAGAGGUGAAAUUCUUGGAUCGUCGCAAGACGGACCGAAGCGAAAGCAUUUGCCAAGUAUGUUCUCGUCGAUCAAGAACGAAAGUUAGAGGUUCGAAGGCGAUCAGAUACCGCCCUAGUUCUAACCAUAAACUAUGCCUGCCAGCGAUCCGCCGAAGUUCCUCCGAUGACUCGGCGGGCAGCUUCCGGGAAACCAGAGCUUUUGGGUUCCGGGGGAAGUAUGGUUGCAAAGCUGAAACUUAAAGGAAUUGACGGAAGGGCACCACCAGGAGUGGAGCCUGCGGCUUAAUUUGACUCAACACGGGAAAACUCACCAGGCCCGGACACCGGAAGGAUUGACAGAUUGAGAGCUCUUUCUUGAUUCGGUGGGUGGUGGUGCAUGGCCGUUCUUAGUUGGUGGAGCGAUUUGUCUGGUUAAUUCCGAUAACGAACGAGACUCUAGCCUACUAACUAGGCGUACCCGGUAUCCACAAUCGUGCUACCGGCGAUCAAAUUUCUUCUUAGAGGGACAGGCGGCUUCUAGCCGCACGAGACUGAGCAAUAACAGGUCUGUGAUGCCCUUAGAUGUCCUGGGCCGCACGCGCGCUACACUGAAGGAAUCAGCGUGUCUUCCCUGUCCGAAAGGACCGGGUAACCCGCUGAACCUCCUUUGUGCUAGGGAUUGGGGCUUGCAAUUGUUCCCCAUGAACGAGGAAUUCCCAGUAAGCGCGAGUCAUAAGCUCGCGUUGAUUACGUCCCUGCCCUUUGUACACACCGCCCGUCGCUACUACCGAUUGAAUGAUUUAGUGAGGUCUUCGGACUGGUGCGCGGAGGCCGCUCCCGCGGUCUCCGAUGUUGCCGGAAAGAUGACCAAACUUGAUCAUUUAGAGGAAGUAAAA